rnacentral:lncRNA from 1 species
GGCAAGUAGGCGACUGCAGGGAAACAGGGGUCCCCCGGCGGGACCCAUCGGUGACUAAUUUCGGCAGGUGGAGACGGUAACGGGACCUGCCACAUCGAUUUUAGGGUUCUUGUCAUUGUGGUGUGGCCAUCAGUGCAGCAAACUCUUUUGUGAGAUACUUAUUGAUGGCGGUUAGGUGCUGCUGCUUUGGAUGGUUACUGGGAAGAUGGGCUACAGAGAAGAUCUAGCAACUGUAGUUUGCCCGGAUUCCUGACUCCCACCCCGACGCUCUCGACUGGUCUGGCUGUGAUACGAAAAUAAUAAUAGCACGUAGUUGUCAGCAUUCGUCAGAGAGGCAACGAAGCUUUUGACACAAACACAUCACGCUCACUUGUACUCGAAGAAGCGAUGUGAGCUUGCAAGCUCUUUAAAAGCGACGAGUACGUACCCGACUGUUUUGAGA